UCCUUUCCUGUGUAAUAUGAGUUUCUCUG
rnacentral:piRNA from 1 species